rnacentral:rRNA from 1 species
GAGUUUGAUCUUGGCUCAGGACGAACGCUGGCGGCGUGCUUAACACAUGCAAGUCAAGGGGGGGUAGCAAUACUCAACCGGCGAACGGGUGCGUAACACGUGAGCGACCUACCUUUUUGUGGGGGAUAGCCGGCCCAACGGCCGGGUAAUACCGCAUACGCUCUUUGCUGGGCAUCUGGCGGAGAGGAAACUUUCGAGGCAAAAAGAGGGGCUCGCGGCCUAUCAGCUAGUUGGCGGGGUAAUGGCCCACCAAGGCAGUGACGGGUAGCUGGUCUGAGAGGAUGGCCAGCCACAUUGGGACUGAGAGACGGCCCAGACUCCUACGGGAGGCAGCAGUGGGGAAUCUUGCGCAAUGGCCGAAAGGCUGACGCAGCGACGCCGCGUGGGGGAGGAAGGGCUUCGGCUCGUAAACCCCUGUUGCCCGGGGCGAACAUCCUCUUUCGAGGGGACUGACGGUACCGGGUGAGGAAGCACCGGCUAACUCCGUGCCAGCCGCCGCCGU